rnacentral:rRNA from 1 species
AACGAACGCUGGCGGCAUGCCUAACACAUGCAAGUCGAACGAGACCUUCGGGUCUAGUGGCGCACGGGUGCGUAACGCGUGGGAAUCUGCCCUUUGCUUCGGAAUAACAAUUAGAAAUGACUGCUAAUACCGGAUGAUGUCUUCGGACCAAAGAUUUAUCGGCAAAAGGAUGAGCCCGCGUAGGAUUAGGUAGUUGGUGGGGUAAAGGCCUACCAAGCCGACGAUCCUUAGCUGGUCUGAGAGGAUGAUCAGCCACACUGGGACUGAGACACGGCCCAGACUCCUACGGGAGGCAGCAGUGGGGAAUAUUGGACAAUGGGCGCAAGCCUGAUCCAGCAAUGCCGCGUGAAGUGAUGAAGGCCUUCGGGUCGUUAAAGGACUCUUUUACCUAGGGAUGAUAAUGACAGUACCUGGAGGAAAUAAAGACUCCGGCCUAACUACCGUGCCAGCA